CCCGUACUUUCCGUCACGGCGGGACAACCGUCAAAGUAAAUGUCCGCUUUCUGAUUUAUUUCCAUUUCCCUCCGAGGGAAGUUGGGGCGUUUGUGAAGCGUCUCCUGCAGCCGGAGUCUGAUGUGUCGCUGAGAGAGAAAGACAGGGGUUUCAGAAUUCAAUUGACAUUUUGAAAUUCCCCCUCACUGUCACCUGUCUGUCUGCCGGUGGGAGUCAAAGAGCAACUCAAGAUGCUGAAGAUAGAACAGAACAUGGAACAGUACAUCACAGGAACAGACACAUCGGCCACAAUGGUGUGCCAAACCAGAUAAAAAAUGUUCCUUACCUGCUGAGUGAUUCUAGUGAUUCCAGUUUCUCUUUAUUACAUUCACCGUGAAACAUUUUAAAUCUCCUGCGAAUGGACCAGUGCACCAGCGCUCAUUUUGUGAGAGUUGAUAGAAGAUAAAGUGCUUCAUUAUCUCUCCGGUUAAAGUUAGAUCUGGGCUGAGAGAUUUAUUGGAAGAAAAGCCCAUGACUGGAACAAAACCACAACUGAAGAUGAGGGAACAGCAACAAUGAAACAGCCCGAGGACUGAGAGCACCAACUGAAGGGAACCCUUCUGAAUCACAGUUUCCAUUGAUUCACUCAGGAGAAAGUUUGGGCAUCACCAACAGGUGGAGCUGUCCUGCACCAUGACCAAAGUGUAAACAAGACGACGACAAUCAACAAUCGUCAGUCAGAAUCAGAAUGGCUACAGAAGGCACGAUGGGGACUGAGAGAGGAGACGCGACCCGCGAGAUGCUGUAAACUGGGCGACUGAACAGACCCCGAGCGGGAGUCUGAGGCCCAGGGUCUUCGGCAAGGAGAGGAGACGAGGACAGACUCGUGAGGAGUAUUUUGGUCGACCACCGAGGGUGGUCCCAUUCGAGGGUCGGCAGAGUUCGGAGGACAUCGACUGGAGGAAAGGAUACCCGAUUCGUGACCUCCAACGAAUUAUUUGUGCACACAACUGAUGGAGUUACUGACUUGGCGCCUUGAUUGUAUUUGUUCCUACUGACCCAUCACCAAGAAGUACUCACGAAGUGUAAUCAUUUAAUCGCAUAUGGUGUACUGUCUGUUAUUUGGCGGUGUGGGGAACAUCACACAGCAUCCACACAAACUCGAUUACCCAGUUUGGCAGAGCCGGAGACUGCUCCCCCGAGACGAAACUGAGCUGAGCGAGCCUGAGGCUUACCAGAAGGCUACAGAAGUUUUAUCUGACUGUUGUGUGUGUUUUUUUUUCCAUGUGUGUUAUUUCUCUUCCUCCUCCUGUCCAUGGUAGUGCUAAUCUUAAGUGGGUCUGAGUGUAAAUAGACUUUUUCUAAAGUUGUCAUUUCAGUUCUUAUUUAUCUUUCUAAAUUUUACUGAUUGAAAUGGGACUAAGAUAUUUUCAUUAAAAAAGUCAAUGUCGGAAAUGAUGAAAAUAUUUUUUGCCUUUGUUGUAUUUGUUAACUAUUGAGCUCUGUUUGGCAGGUUUUGCAAUGGCAAGCAUUUAAAGGUUGCAUGGAUGAACUACAACAAUUGUUCAUCCCAGUUUGGCAAAAGAAUAAAUCAAGGAAGGUAGUGCACUCGUGGCUGACAAGAGAAAUUAGGGAUAGUAUCAAUUCCAAAGAAGAAGCAUACAAAUUAGCCAGAGAAAGUGGCUCACCUGAGGACUGGGAGAAAUUCAGAGUUCAGCAGAGGAGGACAAAGGGCUUAAUUAGGAAGGGGAAAAAAGAUUAUGAGAGAAAACUGGCAGGGAACAU